rnacentral:lncRNA from 1 species
CCCAAGUAGAUUCAGAAACAACAAUAGACUUCUAUUACUAUAUACUGGCAAUAAUAACCACACAGCUAACAUAUUACUUACUAUGUUUGUGUCCCAAAUAGAACCCUAUUCUCUACAUAGUGCACCCUAUGGGCCCUGGUCAAAAGAAGUGCUCUAUAUAGGGAAUAGGGUGUCAUUUGAGACACAUUCUAUAUAUAUAUAUUUCCAUAUACGGGGCAAUUUUUAUGCUGCUAUAAUGACUUGGCUGGUGAAAGCCUGCAUGGCUAACUGAUGACUUACUUCUACAAUAUUUAUAGGUAUAGUUUUACUUCUCAUUUCCCAUUUUUUGGCAAUUUCAAGCAUCGUUUACCCACCGACCAACUGCACUAACCAUUACAGCAUUUAUAUAUUUCUUUCCAGAGAUGGCAUGUUGGAAGAGGUUAUAGGAGUGUGUGUGUGUGUGUGUGCCUGCUCCCAUGUGUGCUGUUUGUGUGUGUGUGCCUGUUUGUGUGUGUCUGCUCCCAUGUUUGCGUGUGCGCGUGUGCCUGCUCCCAUGUGUGCCUGUUUGCGGUGUGUCUGCUCCCAUGUGUGCCUCUGCCUGUUCCUGCUUGUGCUCCCAUGUGUGCAAGUGAGUGAGUGACAGAAUUUGUCGUAUUUACAUUUUUUUUUUUACAGACACACUUAUCCAGAGUGACAUAAAGGAGCUAUUACGGUUAAGUGCCAUGCUCAUGGGCACAUCGCCAGAUUUUUCACCUAGUCGGCUCGGGGAUUCGAACCAGCGGACCUUUCCGUUACUGGCCUAACGCUCUUAACCCCUAGGCUAUCUGCCUCCCCCCAGUGUUCCGUACUCCUCCAUGGUUACAGCAGGCAGGUUACUAGGGAGAGGGUCUGGUCAGCCCAACACUCAGGCCAGCACUCAGGCCAGCACUCAGGCCAGCACUCAGGUCAGCACUCAGGCCAGCCCUCAGGUCAGCACUUAUGUCAGCAUUCAGGUCAGCACUCAGGUCAACACUCAGCCCAACACUCAGGUCAGCACUCAGGUCAACACUCAGGCCAGCACUCAGGUCAGCACUCAGGUCAGCACUCAGGCCAGCCCUCAGGCCAGCCCUCAGGCCAGCCCUCAGGCCAGCCCUCAGGCCAGCCCUCAGGUCAACACUAACCUACCAUUAACCCAACACUUGUUUUGGCUCUAUACUCCAGCACUUAGAAAUGGUGUUGUGUGUUCCUUUCAAACAACUCAACUGUAGUUUCAUCUGUCCACAGAAUAUUUGUCAGUAGCGCUGUGGAACAUCCAAGUGCUCUUUUGUAAACUUCAGACGUGCAGCAAUGUUUUUUUGGGGGACAGCAGUGGCUUCUUCUGUGGUGUCCUCCCAUGAACACCAUUCUUGUUUAGUGUUUUACGUAUCGUAGACUCGUCAACAGAGAUGUUAACAUGUUCCAGAGAUUUCUGUAAGUCUUUAGCUGACACUCUAGGAUUCUUCUUUACCUCAUUGAGCAUUCUGCGCUGGGCUCUUGCAAUCAUCUUUGCAGGACUGCCACUCCCAGGGAGAGUAGCAACAGUGCUGAACUUCCUCCAUUUAUAAGGCUUUUAGAGAUACUUUUGUAUCCCUUUCCAGCUUUAUGCAAGUCAACAAUUCUUAAUCUUGGGUCUUCUGAGAUCUCUUUUGUUCGAGGCAUGGUUCACAUCAGUCAAUGCUUCUUGUGAAUAGCAAACUCAAGUUUUGUGAGUGUUUUUUAAAGGGCAGGGCAGCUCUAACCAACAUCUCCAAUCUCAUCUCGUCUCAUUGGUUGGACUCCAGGUUAGCUGACUCCUGACUCCAAUUAGCUUUCGGAGAAGUCAUUAGCCUAGGGAUUCACAUACUUUUUCCAACCUACACUGUGAAUGUUUAAAUGAUGUAUUGAUAAAAGAAUGUAUAUGUUUAAAGAUAAUAAUUAAAUAAUUCUACCCUGAAACUUAACUAUUA